rnacentral:rRNA from 1 species
GGGGAAUCUUGCGCAAUGGGCGAAAGCCUGACGCAGCAACGCCGCGUGCGGGAUGAAGGCCUUCGGGUUGUAAACCGCUUUCAGCAGGGACGAAAAUGACGGUACCUGCAGAAGAAGCCCCGGCUAACUACGUGCCAGCAGCCGCGGUAAUACGUAGGGGGCAAGCGUUGUCCGGAUUUAUUGGGCGUAAAGAGCUCGUAGGCGGUUCCGUAAGUCGAGUGUGAAAAAUCUGGGCUCAACCCAGUGGAGCACUCGAUACUGCGGUGACUAGAGUACGGUAGAGGAGUGUGGAAUUCCUGGUGUAGCGGUGAAAUGCGCAGAUAUCAGGAGGAACACCAACGGCGAAGGCAGCACUCUGGGCCGGUACUGACGCUGAGGAGCGAAAGCGUGGGGAGCAAAC